rnacentral:lncRNA from 1 species
UGGUGGUGGUGGUAGGAAUGAGUGUCAAUAAGUUAAUAUGAGAUGAGAUGAUGACAAUAUGAGAAGAAACAAAAAUUGAUUUUGGAUAGGAAAUGGGUUGAGUGAAGUGAGUGUCUCAAAAUGAGAAAUGAAAAUGAAAAUAGGAAAGUGAAAGAGCAUCCACUAAGAUUUUCUCAUAAUUAUAAUUCAAUUAAAUCUUAAAGAAAUUGUUGAUAAAUAGAAAUAGGAAAAAG